GCUGUGGGCAAGGUGAAACGAAAGGCCGUCGCGACGGUGGUGGCGGCCCCUCGCGAGCUUAUCGGCAAGUGCUGUGCUUUUGUUUGCUGGCGAGUGCUGUGAUGGCAUCAUCUAGUCACGUUGUCUUCAUCUGUGAAAAGGCGGCAUGUUGUAAUUGCACGUGAUGCAUCGUGCCAAGGACCAUUCAAACGGAUGGUGCCCGUUGUGCUGCGUCGCUGGGAGAUUCUUUAUCGGAGUUGGUUGCAAGCCGAAGCGAUCUCGCUGUGCAGAAGACUGGUGUGUCCGAUCCUGUCAGAGGUCACGGAUGCCAACGGCAGAGAGGCGCUGACGGAGCUUCCCAUCCCCACCAACUGGUGGACCCCGUCGAGAGUGGCGCCAGUUGUCAGCGGCGCGGCGUCCGCGCGCCAGGGCUGCCGCGGGUGCGGUCGACGGGAGCGAGAAACACGCUCGUGUCUGAGCGUUCUCCCCUGUUCUCCCCUGAGAAACACGCUCGUGGCUGAGCGUUCUCCCCGUGCUCAACGCGUUCACGUGAUACAUUGUAUUCAUUCACGCAUUGUUUAUGACACCAUAUCAAAACGUUAUGCUGGCAAGCAGCUUUGUCAGGUCAUUGUAAUGUGAUAAUAUUUGAGUGUUCUAACAAACGUGUACAUAUACGUGCGGAUUGGU